rnacentral:misc_RNA from 1 species
CUCCUCCAACUGCCUUAGCCCGCCCAUUCCGUUUUCCGCUGCCUCUCUCUCUCUCCACACCCCACCACCACCACCACCACCACCACGGCCACCUCGCGGCAAGACAAGAAGCAGCCCACAACGCCAGCAGCACAGCACCACCCACCAUGAGCAAGUCCGACCUUGCCAACGACGCGCAGGUGCCCAUGCGCGCCACGGUGCUGCGAUUCGGCGACGACGUCGAAGGCGCCAGCUACCCGGAAGCCGCUCUCGCCAUCGAAGAUGCUGCGGUGCCGGCCGAGGCGGAAGUCGAUGUGUGCCACGGCAGGGACAGUAGUGGCGGCGAUCAUGAGAGCGUGCCGCACCCCGCACAGACCCCGCGGCACGACUUCACGAGUGGCAUCCUCGACUGCCACGAGAGCUGCGCCGUGUGUCUCGACGCUUGCCUGUGCAUGUACUGCACCGCCAGUGCGCACCACAACUUUCUCAUAAACGACACGGAGGGUAUUUACCUCCCCGUCUGCUGGGGGCUGUUCUGCGUCGAUGUCGGGCUCAGCGCAGUGUCCUCGUACCUGCCGAGCUCGCUCCACUUCCACACCUACUUUAUGCGCAGCGCCAUCCGCAGCCGCUACAACCUGCACUCGGCGGGCGCGCCUGUCAACUCCAAUACGCACGGCAGCAGCAGCAGCAGCAGCGGCUGUGGCUGUUCGACGGAGUCGAUUUUGGAUCUCCUGACCGUAUGGUUCUGCCUGCCGUGCGCCGUUGCCCAGCAUCAGCGCGAGAUCAUGCACCAGGGCGACUGGUGCGGCGGCGUCUUCAGCAACCGUUACUCGCUGCAGGCCCCAGCGACAGUGCACACAGUCUAGCUGACGGCACCCGCUCGGCAGGAGAGGGAAGGGGAGGACGGGAUCGGACUGGCUAAAUGGCACUAGAGUCAUCUGUGCAUGCAUGGGUCUUCGCAUGGUGCCUUUAGAUGGUGCAACACGCACGCACUCGCCGCCGACAUCACCCCUCACCGCUGCGCCUUCAGCGCUCCCCCUCCCUCAACUACGGCCAUCUGUGUUUGCCUUUGUGUUUCUCUGCCCCGCCCCCCUACCCCACUCACUCACUCGUACUCCCUCGUCCAAUCAUCUUCCAACACCACCACCACCGGCGGCAGCGGCAGCGGCAGCGGCAACAGCGUAUAUAUAUAUAUAUAUAUAUAUAUAUAUAUAUAUAUAUAUGUGUGUGUGUGUGCGUGUGUGUCUGCUUGCUUCCCCCUUGCUCUCCCUCGGCCACGUACCUCAUCGCACGCGCACACACGCACACACUGUCCGCGUCCGUGUCCGUCUCUCGCGUGCUUGCUUCCGAUCUCUUGACCAUCACACCCCCUCCCCCGCCCCCACCCCCUCGAUGCUCUCGCUGUGGUUGGUGUUCUGCUUUCCGGGUAGAUUGGGCGUAUCGUUGGUCCCGCUUCCAUGUGCUUGCUGUUCUCUCUAUAUAUAUAUAUUUCGUGAAUCGGUGGACGGUUGUUCGGACGUGCCGCGCGGCAGCGGCGGAGAGUGUGCGUUGGUGUGCCGCCCGUCCAUGUGCUUGUGCUCUCUCUCUGUGUAUGUGUUUUCGCUCAGCGUUUGUGUGUGUGUGUGUGGAAGCGCUGGGCAUCAGGGCGUCGUUGUCUGACGCAUGAGCGGACACCACCACUCCACCACCACC